rnacentral:rRNA from 1 species
GAUGAACGCUGGCGGCGUGCCUAAUACAUGCAAGUCGAGCGAACAGACGAGGAGCUUGCUCCUUCGACGUUAGCGGCGGACGGGUGAGUAACACGUAGGUAACCUACCUAUAAGACUGGGAUAACUUCGGGAAACCGGAGCUAAUACCGGAUAAUAUUUCGAACCGCAUGGUUCGAUAGUGAAAGAUGGCAUUGCUAUCACUUAUAGAUGGACCUGCGCCGUAUUAGCUAGUUGGUAAGGUAACGGCUUACCAAGGCAACGAUACGUAGCCGACCUGAGAGGGUGAUCGGCCACACUGGAACUGAGACACGGUCCAGACUCCUACGGGAGGCAGCAGUAGGGAAUCUUCCGCAAUGGGCGAAAGCCUGACGGAGCAACGCCGCGUGAGUGAUGAAGGUCCUCGGAUCGUAAAACUCUGUUAUUAGGGAAGAACAAACGUGUAAGUAACUGUGCACGUCUUGACGGUACCUAAUCAGAAAGCCACGGCUAACUACGUG